rnacentral:rRNA from 1 species
GACGAACGCUGGCGGCGUGCUUAACACAUGCAAGUCGAACGGGCCCGCUCUCUUUUUUGGGGGUGGGUUGAGUGGCGAACGGGUGAGUAUCACGUGAGUAACCUGCCCCCUGCUCCUGGAUAACUGCUUGAAAGGGCGGCUAAUACGGGGUGUGCCGGCUGGUCCGCAUGGGCCUGGUCGGGAUAGUUUCAUCUUCGGGUGUUUCGGUGGGGGAUGGGCUCGCGGCCUAUCAGCUUGUUGGUGGGGUGAUGGCCCACCAAGGCGGUGACGGGUAGCCGGCCUGAGAGGGUGGGCGGCCACACUGGGACUGAGACACGGCCCAGACUCCUGCGGGAGGCAGCAGUGGGGGGUAUUGCACAAUGGGCGGAAGCCUGAUGCAGCGACGUCGCGUGAGGGAUGGAGGCCGUCGGGUGGUGAACCUCUUUCUCCGGUGGUGAAGGCCCUGUCCGUUGCGGCGGGGUUGACGGUAGCCGGGGAUGAAGCGCCGGCUAACUACGUG